rnacentral:rRNA from 1 species
UAGGGAAUCUUCCACAAUGGACGCAAGUCUGAUGGAGCAACGCCGCGUGAGUGAAGAAGGUUUUCGGAUCGUAAAGCUCUGUUGUUGGUGAAGAAGGAUAGAGGCAGUAACUGGUCUUUAUUUGACGGUAAUCAACCAGAAAGUCACGGCUAACUACGUGCCAGCAGCCGCGGUAAUACGUAGGUGGCAAGCGUUGUCCGGAUUUAUUGGGCGUAAAGCGAGCGCAGGCGGAAUGAUAAGUCUGAUGUGAAAGCCCACGGCUCAACCGUGGAACUGCAUCGGAAACUGUCAUUCUUGAGUGCAGAAGAGGAGAGUGGAACUCCAUGUGUAGCGGUGGAAUGCGUAGAUAUAUGGAAGAACACCAGUGGCGAAGGCGGCUCUCUGGUCUGCAACUGACGCUGAGGCUCGAAAGCAUGGGUAGCGAACAGGAUUAGAUACCCUGGUAGUCCAUGCCGUAAACGAUGAGCGCUAGGUGUUGGGGACUUUCCGGUUCUCAGUGCCGCAGCAAACGCAUUAAGCGCU